rnacentral:misc_RNA from 1 species
CACGUACUGGGCGAACGUUAUUCGGAAUCACUGGGCUUAAAGGGUGCGUAGGCGGCCAAGUCCGUAGGAUGUGAAAGCCCCCGGCUCAACCGGGGAAGGGCAUCCUAGACCACUUGGCUUGAGGAAGAUAGAGGUGUGCGGAAUUCCCGGUGGAGCGGUGAAAUGUGCAGAGAUCGGGAGGAACGCCGGAGGCGAAAGCGGCACACUGGGUCUUCCCUGACGCUGAGGCACGAAAGCCAGGGGAGCAAACGGG